AGGGAAUCUUCCGCAAUGGACGAAAGUCUGAUGGAGCAACGCCGCGUGAACGAUGAAGGUCUUCGGAUUGUAAAGUUCUGUUGUCAGGGACGAACAAGUACCGUUCGAACAGGGCGGUGCCUUGACGGUACCUGACGAGAAAGCCACGGCUAACUACGUGCCAGCAGCCGCGGUAAUACGUAGGUGGCAAGCGUUGUCCGGAUUUAUUGGGCGUAAAGCGCGCGCAGGCGGCUAUGUAAGUCUGGUGUUAAAGCCCGGGGCUCAACCCCGGUUCGCAUCGGAAACUGCAGAGCUUGAGUGCAGAAGAGGAAAGCGGUAUUCCACGUGUAGCGGUGAAAUGCGUAGAGAUGUGGAGGAACACCAGUGGCGAAGGCGGCUUUCUGGUCUGUAACUGACGCUGAGGCGCGAGAGCGUGGGGAGCAAAC
rnacentral:rRNA from 1 species